UAUCUAACUAAUUAACACUUUCUUCAUUGAGUACAAUGAAUUCAUUAGAAUCAUUCCAUAAUCUUGAGAGAAAAAACUUUUACAGCCAAGUAACAUACCAUGUUUUCAUGUUACUUACAAGAAGAGAGAUUCAAAUAAUUGUGUAUAUAACUAUUAUUAUCCUUUUUCGGUUAUUUGAUUAAUCAUAUUUGAGAUUGUGGUUUUCAUCUUAGAAUUAAUGGAAGAAGAACCAUGCCAUAACUCUUGUAGCUAACAAUGAAGAUUCAAAUGAGGAUAUCCAACACAACCAUAUAUGACUUUCAUGCUCGAUGAUGUUUGUUCACAUUGUGAACAAAAAUUGAUAUUAUAAUCUUGUGGGAUGUAAGUGAACUCUUUAAUCAAUUUUUUUUUUGUAAGGUUAUGUUUUAUAUGAGACAUCACCUACAAUUGGGUGGCCGUGAAUGUAGUCGAUAUUGUUUCAAUCAAAAUCACAUUGCAGUAACAAACAUCAAAAUCUUAAGCUCUUUUUUUAUUUA
rnacentral:lncRNA from 1 species